UACGAAGGGGGCUAGCGUUGCUCGGAAUUACUGGGCGUAAAGGGCGCGUAGGCGGACAGCUUAGUCAGAGGUGAAAGCCCAGGGCUCAACCUUGGAAUUGCCUUUGAUACUGGCUGUCUUGGGUUUGGGAGAGGUGAGUGGAACUCCGAGUGUAGAGGUGAAAUUCGUAGAGAUUCGGAAGAACACCAGUGGCGAAGGCGACUCACUGGCCCAAUACUGACGAUGAGGCGCGAAAGAGUGGGGAGCAAACAGG
rnacentral:rRNA from 1 species